rnacentral:rRNA from 1 species
CCUACGGGGGGCUGCAGUUGGGAAUCUUGCACAAUGGGGGAAACCCUGAUGCAGCGACGCCGCGUGGAGGACGAAGGGUCUAGGCCUGUAAACUCCUUUUCUCGGGAAAGACUUAGGACGGUACCCGAGGAAUAAGCACCGGCUAACUACGUGCCAGCAGCCGCGGUAAGACGUAGGGUGCAAGCGUUGUCCGGAUUUACUGGGCGUAAAGAGCGCGUAGGCGGUCUGUUAAGUGCACGAGUGAAAUCCCUGGGCUCACCUCAGGAACUGCUCUG